rnacentral:lncRNA from 10 species
CAAAACGGACCAGGUGCAGUGGCUUAUGCCUGUAAUCCCAGCACUUUGGGAGGCCGAGGCAGGUGGAUCAUGAGGUCAGGAAUUUGAGACCAGCCUGACCGAUGUAGUGAAACCCCGUCUCUACUAAAAAUACAAAAAAUUACCUGGGCGUGGUGGCAGGUGCCUGUAAUCCCAGCUACUUGGGAGGCUGAGGCAGGAGAAUUGCUUGAACCCAGGAGGCGGCGGUUGCAGUGAGCUAAGAUUAUGCCACUGUACUCCAGCCCAGGCAACAGUGCAAGAUUCCGUCUCAAAAAAAAAAAAAAAAAAAAAAAAAGAAUGAGCAAGAGCAAGACUUUCAGCAUCAAUCCAAUUUUAAUUAGGAGGGAGAAAUAAAGGAGAAAAAGGUACAGAGGGGAGAAGAGAGAAUGGAAAGAAUACAGACGAUAUGCAGAAGUUGAGUUCAGAUAAAGAACAGUUAUUAGGUCUUCCUACCUUUACCUUAGGAGCAAAAUCUACAAAAUCACAAAAUCUCUCUUGUUCUUUUUGAAAGUGCAAUCAGAUGUCUGUUUUUGCCGAUCAACAGCACAAGCAUCUUAUAUUUCACAAGGUCCCUAAAAGUCUUCCUUAAUUCAAGGGUUUUGCUGAAGAACAAGUGUGAUAAUGUACCUGAAAGCUCUUGGAGGAGCUUCAAGUGUUAUGUAAAUGAAAGGUGGUAAUUAAAAACCUCUAGAGAAGGGCAGCCUAUCUCAG